UUAAUUGCAGUUCAAGUGCUUUUUGGAGAUUGUCAAUCAAUCGGUUUUGUUAUUGAGAGACUACAAAGUUCCCUCCCCCUUAUCACACACCAGAGCCAGACCCAUUCCACACCCAGCCAACUCGGGCCAUUCAUACUUUUGAACUGGUUAAGAGUUUUAACCUUCAGGCAUUACAAUUCCCUGGCGCUAGGCAUGGAUCGCCUUAAAUGCGAUCAUUUCAUGCUACAAACCGAUUCGUUUCGUCAACGACUUGAACUCCCUCCCCGACAGAUCAAUCCAGUUGCAAUUGAAAGUUGGUCAUGCCGGCUGUGUGGGUGUGGAUGCUAUAUUGGCUCAUACAACAGACAUUCAGCCAAUGGAUCGUUAAAGAGCAUGUCUUUAUGCGGCCAUCGGGUAUGACUGUCCAUCAUCAUCCAUCUGAGGUUCACAAAGUAUACAUCGAAUAUUUGAAAAAGCCCGCUACAUCAGUUCAGCCAGGGAAUAAUCGAAAAGAACCAAAGGAACCAAAUGAACGAGAAAAAAUGAAGAAAAAGAAAGUCAUUUCGACUAAGAAAAAAAUAUAUUAUGUGGUGCCCAAGAAACCGGGA